GGGUUAAGUCCCGCAACGAGCGCUAACCCCUAUUGUUAGUUGCCAUCAUUCAGUUGGGCACUCUAGCGAGACUGCCGGUAAUAAACCGGAGGAAGGUGGGGAUGACGUCAAAUCAUCAUGCCCCUUAUGACCUGGGCUACACACGUGCUACAAUGGUUGGUACAACGAGUUGCGAGUCGGUGACGGCGAGCUAAUCUCUUAAAGCCAACCUCAGUUCGGAUUGUAGGCUGCAACUCGCCUACAUGAAGUCGGAAUCGCUAGUAAUCGCGGAUCAGCACGCCGCGGUGAAUACGUUCCCGGGCCUU
rnacentral:rRNA from 1 species